AACGAACGCUGGCGGCAGGCCUAACACAUGCAAGUCGAACGUGAAGCCACUUCGGGUGGUGGAAAGUGGCAGACGGGUGAGUAACGCGUGGGAACGUGCCUUUCGGUUCGGAAUAACCCAGGGAAACUUGGGCUAAUGCCGGAUACGCCCUCCGGGGGAAAGAUUUAUCGCCGAAAGAUCGGCCCGCGUCGGAUUAGCUUGUUGGUGGGGUAAAAGCCUACCAAGGCGACGAUCCGUAGCUGGUCUGAGAGGAUGAUCAGCCACACUGGGACUGAGACACGGCCCAGACUCCUACGGGAGGCAGCAGUGGGGAAUAUUGGACAAUGGGCGCAAGCCUGAUCCAGCCAUGCCGCGUGGGUGAAGAAGGCCCUAGGGUUGUAAAUCCCUUUCAGCGGGGACGAUAAUGACGGUACCCGCAGAAGAAGCCCCGGCUAACUCCGUG
rnacentral:rRNA from 1 species